rnacentral:tRNA from 1 species
GCCGGAAUAGCUCAGUUGGUAGAGCAGAGGACUGAAAAUCCUCGUGUCACCAGGUCAAAUA